rnacentral:lncRNA from 1 species
UAUAUCUUCUUUAACUUCUCCACCCUUUUCACUUGAAGAAAGAUGGCAUCCAAGGGAGAUAUUAUUGUGAAAACGGGAGUGGAUGAUUUUUCAUUAUUGAACGAGUGCCAUGAAAAAAAGAAGAGUUUACCUCAUACUACAAAGAUACCUAAGUAUGCUCUAGAAAGGUCAUCAUCUUAUGUACUUGCACAGAAAUAUGUAGAUUGUGUUUAUCAGUAUCAACCACAACAAGAUCGUAUUUAUCAGUUCAAACCAUCUUCUGGAACUGAAAAAGAGAUGAAAAGUGUUACUUUUGAGGUCACCACAGUGGAAUUUUGAUUGAAUAUGGAUCAAUAUUCUUAUUACUGGUCUCUAUUUACAAUAUUGUAGCAUGUGUAAUAGAGUUGAACAAAUAUUAAUUAGUUGAGUAAGCUACUAUGUCGUGCGAAUGCACAAGCAUAUAUAUGGAUGUUCCUUAUAUUGAAGUCUUUAGCAAUAUAUAUGGAAUCCUUAGCUAUAUGCUGGCUCGUUACUCUA